UUGACCUUUUGAUAGAUUUAUUCUGCUCAAAGGUUGUUUUUUUUACCAUUGUAAAUUAUCGAUGAUCAUUUCGUUUUAUACUGAAAUAGUUGAUUUCGACUAUCUAUGAGGAUUUUGGAGGGGAACCGAGUGGCAUGUGAAUUGCACGUGGCGAGGAUGCCAGAAUUGCGAAGUGGAGCUCGGAGAUCAAAACGCCUUGAUGAUCUUCAGCCGCCUCCUCAACCGGUUGAUCAAGUGGAGAAUUGGGCACUGCCUGCUCAAAAC